ACGGUUCUCUGCACCCGCCGCUCGCUGCAGCCCCGCGGCGACGCCUUUCGCCCCGGGGAUCCCCCCACCGCCCAGCGCCUGGGGAGCUCCGGUUGGAGCCGUGGGCGCCGCCGAGGCCCGGCUGCAGCCGGAGGAAGGAGGGGGAUAGGGAGGUGAUGAAUUCCAGAAUCAGUCAUUCACCCCCACGCGGUAGUUCCGGGGAAGACCUGUGCGUGGUAGUGGAUGUGGCUUUUUUUUUUCCCUUUUCCUGCCCCCUCCCAGCUCUAAUCCCCAGCGUCUGUUCGCUUCCACAAAUAGAACCUUCUGUUGGAGGAAAUAAAAGCAAACACUGGGCCUUCUGCGCUGCCUCCACCUCCACGCCCCCCCAACCCCCCCGCGCCUGCCGCCCGCCCGGAUUGCACGGAAAUAGCUUCUCCAGGCUCCCGGGCCGCCCCUUCGCGGUGACUCGCAGAAAGAGCUUCCUGAGCCAGGGCCGGUGGGAAACAAAGGAUGUGGGGAGCGGGCGGAAGGGGCCCACGUGGCUGCCGCCGGAUUCCUACUCCCUCCCCAGCCUCCACACGCGCCGCAGGGUCUAGGGCCUGAGUGCCAACCUGGGUAGGUGGGUAGGCUGGUGGAAGUCAUUCUGGCCACUGCCAGAGAUACCGCCUGCACCCGGGCAGCCCUGCCUGGUGGUGCGCAUGCAUUCAUUCCGUGUGAUUUGGAAGAGCAUCAAAGUUGCGCGUGAAACAACUUGGAAUCUGUCAUUUUUCUUUCUUGAGUGAACCAGGUCAGUUUGGAGUCCCUGGGCACCCAACAAUAUAACUAUUAUUAGAGAGCCCUUACUUGUCCUUCUGCUAAAUACUUAAUUUUCUAAAACCAGGUCGAGCCCCAGGAAUAAAUCAUUUUCCUUAUUAAUUCUCCAUUCAUUCAACAAAUACUAAUUAAGCAUCUACCAAGAGCUAAACGCUGGGAAUUAGAAGGUGAAAAUUAAAAUAAUAAUAAUAGCUAACAUGAAUCGAGGCCUACAAUGUGUCGGACACUGUUCUUAGCACUUUAUAUGUAUUACUUCAGUUUUCCAACCACACUAUGGGGUUAUUUUUUGCCCCAUUUCACAGGGAAGAAACUGAAGCCUUAGAAGGAUGAAGUUAGGCCAAGCGUGGUGGCUCACGCCUGUAAUCCCAGCACUUUGGGAGGCUGAGGUGGGCAGAUCACCUGAGGUCAGGAGUUCAAGACCAAUCUGGCCAACAUGGUGAAACCCCGUCUCUACUACAAGUACAAAAAUUAGCUGGGUGUGGUGGCGCGCGCCUGUAAUCCCAGCUGCUGGGGAGGCUGAGGUGGGAGAAUCACUUGAACCUGGGAGACAGAGGUUGCAGUGAGCCGAGAUCGUGCCACUGCACUCCAGCCUUGGGGAGAAAGCAAGACUUAGUCUCAAAAAAUAAAAAAUAAUAAUAAUAAUAAUUUAAAAAAAGAACGAAAGAUGAAGUUACUUGCUGCGGUUAAGUAGCUCAUAAGGGGUGGUGCGGUCAAGCUCCUAAGCAUUUAUGGCGACUGGAAGGAGAGAUUACAAUUUGUAGGGGAAAACAGGAGUUAGGGAGGACUCUAGAAGGCAUUUGACCUGGGAGAUGUGCAGGGACUGUGAGGGAGUUGCUCAAGGGAGAGUAUGAAUGGUGGGAGGCCGGGCCAGACAAGGGGUGUGCGGAAGGGCAGGGCUAGCAGGCCAGAGAAACUACAAGGGUGGUGGGAGCUGAGCCUGCAGAGGUCUCCUGAGACAGUGUUGGGAAGGGCUUGAAAGCCAUGUUGCACUUGGUCCUGUGCCCAGAGGAGAGCCCACCGAAGAGUUAGUUAGUUAGUUUGUUUGUUUGUUUGUUUGUUUGUUUGUUUUGAGACAGAGUCUCCCUCCAUCGCCUAAGCUAGAGUGCAGUGACCCAAUCUCGGCCCACUGCAACCUCUGCCUCCCGGGUUCAAGUGAUUCUCCUGCCUCAGCCUCCCAGUAGCUGGGAUUACAGGCGCCCGCCACCAUGCCUGGGUAAUUUUUUAUUUGUAGUAGAGACGAGGUUUCACCAUGUUGGCCAGGCCGGUCUUGAACUCCUGACUUUAAGUGAUCCACCCACCUCAGCCUCCCAAAGUGCUGGGAUUACAGGCUUGAGCCACCACGCCCGGCCCCACCUACAUUUUUUUUGUCUUUGAAGAUUAUUCUGUGCCAGAAUGUAAGAUCCACUGAGCUGCCAGCACUUGAAUGGCAAACUCAGCAUGGCCCCUGAGCAUCUUCCUCCCAGGUGUGUGCCUCCUUCUCUGCCUCUUCUGAGAGACAGGCAUGCCACCAUCCACCCAGCUCCGCCCACCCAGGGGCCAGGAUCACAGGCACUCAUCGUGGGUUCCCCUUUGAAUCUGCCUUUUUCCUUUCUCCCACAGCCCACCCUAGACCUGUGAGCUCUCAGUGCCGGGCCCUACCCCGCACUGUUCAGCUCCCUGGGGCUGGCCCUCACCAGCUCUACUUCCCAGGCUCACUUGCCCAUUGGCUUCCAGCCCAGUUUGCCCAGUGGGAGGCCCGGGAGGGAGAUUAGAAGGCAGGAGGAAGAAGAGAAUGCCCAGGCUACUAUUUGCUUCAGGCAGCUGGCCACACCUCCUCUGGGGCUCCAGAGGAGACAGCCACUCCGCAUGGCUGCUGCGAUGUGCUCCCCAGAUCCCGCUGCCCAACUGGAGGAUCUGUUUCCCUGGCUGCUGGGAGUGCAUAUCAGGAGCUGUUUUGGAAAUUGCCUUGACUGAGAAGAGCCACUUUGCCGGAGGUCACACUCCCUUCCCAAGGGUCCACAUCCAGUGACUGCUGAUCAUGGAAGAAUAAAGGUCCCCUUGUCCCAACUUGGGCCACCUGUCCAAGGCAUCCCAGCUUCAGAGCUCCCAGAUUUAGGCCUUCCUAAAAUUGCAUCACAGCCCAGCUUUUUCCUCUGCCCAAUCCUGUUCCUUCCUCCCCCUCUUCCCACAGAAUCCUCUUGCAGGCUGGCCUGCAUCUCAGAGUCAGCUUCCUGGGGAGUUCAACCUGUGGCACCCCUUCUUCAUGGUCCGAGCUCACUCCAGGGACUCUGGCUUCUGGGAGCAGGUGAAACCACCUUUGUCCCUCCAGCCGUAGGGUGGCAGCAGCUUCCAGAUGUUGCUAAUCUCUGGGUGGCCCCCAGCACCAUGUUUUGUUCUGUUUUGUUUCUGCCCUUUCUAUGCCUUUGUAACUAGUUUUCUACAUAAAUUCUAUCCACUGAACUUCCUGGCCUGAGUUCCAUUUUCCUGCCCAGACCCUGUCUAAUAGAAACCUUCUCCCUUUCCCACGUUCGGCCCUCUCCCCACUCCCAUAAUCCUAGUUCACAACCUUCCCCUGGAUUCCUGCAGUAAGUUCUCAAUGGAGCCACUCAUUCAUCCCUUCAACAAACAUUGAGCCCCUACUUGGUGUCAGCACCCACUAAGUGCUGGAGACACAGUGAUGCACAAAACACAGUAUGUCGUGUAUCCCCUUGAUCCAUCCCCCACACAGCUGUGGAGUCACUUUCCUAAAAUCCAAAUGUGAUCACGCAAGGCACUGACCUAAAACCUUGCAGGGACCCCACCCCCAGAUAAAAUCCAAACACCACAGUAUGGAAAAGUAGGCCCUCUUCCAAGCCCCAUUUCCCUUCCGAGCCUCACCUUCCAGGCCCACUUCCCUUCCAAGCCUCACCUUUCUUGCCUCCUCCCCUCUGUCCUACCCAUGCCAGCUCCUGGCAGGGCCCCAAACUGAUCUAUCUGCCAAUUCACAUCUCUGCACUUCAGCCUGCGCUGUUCCCUCCCACUGGAAUUCCCUCUCUUCCUUUUCCAAGGAAAGGAACUCUUACUCAUCCUUCAAAACACCAUCCGGAUUUCCCCAGCGCCUGCACUCAGAUCUCAGUGUCCUACCAAAUGCUGUCGAGUCCUCUGUCCAACUAUCUCUCGUGACCCUUUCCACGCAACUGUGUUCCCAGAGGGCAGGGGUUGUGUCUUGUUCAUUCGUGUUCAUCCAGCCCCCAGCCCAGUGUCCGUUAUAAAAGAGGGACUUAGGCCAAGCACAGUGGCUCACGCCUAUAAUCCCAGCACUCUGGAAAGGCCGGGCAGGUGGAUCACUUGAGGUCGGGAGUUUGAGACCAGCCUGGCCAACAUGGUGAAAUCCCGUCUUCACUAAAAAUACAAAAAUUAGCCAAGCGUGGUGGCAGGCACCUGUAGUCCCAGCUACUCUGGAGGCUGGAGCACGAGAAUCGCUUGAACCCGGGGAGCACAGGUUGUGGUGAGCUGAGAUUGUGCCACUGCACUCCAGCCUGGGCAACAGAGCAAGACUCCAUCUCAAAAAAAAAAAAAAAAAGAGGGGGCUUAGUAAGUGUCAACCAAAUAAAUGCACUCCAGGGCAGAGGGUCACCCACAAGGAGAGCCUGAGAUGACAGAUGGAGAGGAAACACUGGACUUCAGACAGAGACAGGGGCUGGAGAGCAGGGCACAGAUUUCGGAGUUAGACGUCUGGCCCUGGAGAGGUAAUGGGAGGUGGAGUGUCGGGGAAAGCAGGGGCUUGUGGGGCUCCCAGCCUGCAUGCCGGGGAAGAUGAACAUGGACCUUUGGCAAGGCCUGAGAUAAGGCAGGCCGAGGCACAAGGCAGCUAAAAUUGUCUUGAUUUCUUUGCGGAGGGCUUCCCUACUGGUAAAAUCUGGACUGAAAUUCCCUCAGACUUUUCAGAUACUCACUUGAGGAAGCCAGUGGCUCUUAAUGAGCCUCGGUUGUCUCACCUGUGAAAUGGGCGUAAUAAAGGCCUGGUUUUCCUCUCCUACACAGUUUAGUUUUGUUUAGUUUUGUUGUGGAGAUGGGGUUUCAUCAUGUUGCCCAGGUUGGUCUCGAACUCCUGGGCUCAAGCAGUCCUCCAGCCUCAGCCUCCUAAAGUGCUGGGAUUACAGGUGCGAGCCACUGAGCCUGGCCUCCUCCCCUACACAGUUCUUAAUGGAAAUGAGGAAGUAUAAAUAUGUGGAAAGUACUUUUGGAUCAUCCAGCCAGACCCAAAUGUGGGAGAUUAUCAGGUAUGGGUGUGCCUUGAUUUUGAACAGUAUUCAUUUAGUCAACAAAUAUUCAUUAAGGACUUGCUAUAUGUGAGAAUUGAAAAAAAAAACAAAAAGACCGUACUAUGAAACUCCAAAUCGACAAAUACAAAUAUCUAAAUAAAUAGGAUGGUAAUUAGGAAGUCAUUCUUCCCAUAUUAAAGGGUCUCUACCAAGCGAUGCCAUCCACAAGCUCCUCUGGUGCAUUUAUGAUGAGGCCUGAAAGCCAGAAUCACCACUGAUCGUGCAUGCGUGUGUGUCCUGCGUAGCCUCGGCAUGAUGCUCAGCUUGAUGCUGGAUGCUCAGUACAUGGUCAGCUGUGAGAAAAUUGAUUUAACUCUGACUUUUCAGGAGCUCACAUAUUACAUAACAUGGGGAAACCUGUAUCGAUUUUUUUGGACAAGGUUAGGCUGCUGAUGACCUCUGGCUUGAUUCAUUUUCAUUCAUGCCAAGGUAGAUGCAUGGCAGCAACGUUAGGAAGGCUCUGAGUGUUCUACCCAUUCUAAAAUGGAAAUCCUUAGAGGCCAGGGCCCCCAGUUUCCAUCUCCCUGUCUCACGGCACAUGAGGCUUUGUAGCCACACACAGAGGGUAUGCGUCCAGUGCAUUAUGCUCCCUGACCUUACAUUCUAAAAAAUAAAAUGAAUUAAAAAGUUUGGGGGCUGGGCGCAGUGGCCCACUCCUAUAAUCCCAGCACUUUGGGAGGCUGAGGCAGGCAGAUCACUUGAGGACAGGAGUUCGAGACCAGCCUGGACAACAUGGCGAAAGCCCAUCUCUACUAAAAAUACAAAAACAUUAGCCGGGCGUGGUGGUGCAUGCCUGUUGUUCCAGCUACUCAGGAGGCUGGGGCAUGAGAAUCAUUUGAACCUGGGAGGCAGAGAUUACAGUGAUCCAAGAUUGCACCACUACACUCCAGCCUGGGUGACAGAGCAAGACUCUGUUUUAAAAAAAAAAAAAAAGGAACAUAUUUAGGGAAGACAAUAUAUCAAAAGUUAGGAAAGACAAAAACAUGUAUUGUGUUCCUGCCAAUUCUAGACACUUUCCUGUUGUUUAAUUUAAUGUUUAAACAAUCAUGGAAAAUAGUUAUUGAGCUGGAUGCAGUGGCACGCACGUGUAGUCCCAGCUACUCGGGAGGCUGAGGCAAGAGGAUCAC
rnacentral:lncRNA from 1 species